GUCCUAGCCUUAAACGGUGCACGUUUGCUGUGAGAGUAAUCGACCCCUUUCGUGGCGAAGCUAACGCGUUAAACGUGCCGCCUGGGGAGUACGGUCGCAAGAUUAAAACUCAAAGAAAUUGACGGGGGCCUGCACAAGCGGUGGAGUAUGUGGCUCAAUUCGAUGCAACGCGAAGAACCUUACCUGGCCUUGACAUGCAGGUGGUAGAAGCCCGAAAGGGUAACGACCCCGCAAGGGGAGCCUGCACAGGUGCUGCAUGGCUGUCGU
rnacentral:rRNA from 1 species